rnacentral:sRNA from 1 species
CUGUCACCCAGUACCAACUCCAUCAAUCCUGUCUGGAAGGAGGAGCCCUUUGUCUUUGAGAAGAUCUUGAUGCCUGAGCUGGCCUCCCUCAGGGUGGCUGUGAUGGAGGAAGGCAACAAGUUUCUUGGACACCGCAUCAUCCCCAUCAAUGCCCUAAAUUCUGGGUACCACCACCUGUGCCUGCACAGUGAGAGCAACAUGCCCCUCACCAUGCCUGCGCUCUUCAUCUUCCUGGAGAUGAAGGACUACGUACCUGGUGCUUGGGCAGAUCUCACUGUGGCCCUCGCCAACCCCAUUAAGUUCUUCAGUGCCCAUGACAAGAAGUCUGUGAAGCUCAAGGAGGCCAUGGGAGGUCUGCCUGAGGUCUGUGUUGCCUGCACCGCUGCUCACCAGAGAUCGGCCCUAUUUAUGGGAGAGGAUGGGGAGAGGGCCGAGUCCCAGGCUCGGGGAGAGAGGGCUGUCAAGCCACCUUCCUAACCUGCUCUCCCUACACAGAAGCCCUUCCCACUGGCGAGUCCAGUUGCCAGCCAGGUCAAUGGGGCGUUG